GGGAGGAAGAAACGCUAGCAGGAUGAGUGGAAGGGUGGAGAUGGAUGGGAGAGUGGUGAAUAGGUGUGUUGGUGGGUUUGUGGCAGAGAUUUGGGAGACUGGAGGAGCCUUUGGAAAGGAACGGUUUG